rnacentral:rRNA from 1 species
GAUGAACGCUGGCGGCGUGCCUAACACAUGCAAGUCGAACGAUGAAACCGCCCUCGGGCGGACAUGAAGUGGCGAACGGGUGAGUAACACGUGACCGACCUGCCCCCCGCCCAGGGACAGCCCCCCGAAAGGGGGAUUAAUACCUGGUACUCCGGGAGCGGCGCAUGCCGCCCCCGGGAAAGCCCUGGCGGCGGGGGAUGGGGUCGCGGCCCAUCAGGUAGACGGCGGGGCAGAGGCCCACCGUGCCGACGACGGGUAGCCGGGUUGAGAGACCGACCGGCCACAUUGGGACUGAGAUACGGCCCAGACUCCUACGGGAGGCAGCAGUGGGGAAUUUUGCGCAAUGGGGGCAACCCUGACGCAGCAACGCCGCGUGCGGGACGAAGGCGUCCGCGUCGUAAACCGCUUUCAGCGGGGAACACUUUUCGAGGGUACCCGCAGAAGAAGCCCCGGCUAAAUACGUGCCAGCAGCCGCGGUAAAAC